GACGAACGCUGGCGGCGUGCUUAACACAUGCAAGUCGAACGAUGAAGAAGAGAAGCGCGAACUUCGGUUCAAAUUUCACUUCGGAUUAGUGGCAGACGGGUGAGUAACGCGUGAGCAACCUACCUCUUACAAAGGGAUAGCCUCGGGAAACCGUGAUUAAUACCAUAUGACACAUUCAUAAGGCAUCUUAAGAAUGUUAAAGCUACGGCGGUAAGAGAUGGGCUCGCGUCCCAUUAGCUAGUUGGUGAGGUAACGGCCCACCAAGGCGGCGAUGGGUAACCGGCCUGAGAGGGUGAACGGUCACAUUGGAACUGAGACACGGUCCAAACUCCUACGGGAGGCAGCAGUGGGGAAUAUUGCACAAUGGAGGGAACUCUGAUGCAGCGACGCCGCGUGAGCGAUGAAGGAAUUCGUUUCGUAAAGCUCUGUUCUAUGGGAAGAAAAUGACUGUACCAUAGGAGAAAGCCCCGGCUAAAUACGUG
rnacentral:rRNA from 1 species